rnacentral:rRNA from 1 species
CCUACGGGAGGCAGCAGUGAGGAAUAUUGGUCAAUGGACGCAAGUCUGAACCAGCCAUGCCGCGUGCAGGAAGACGGCUCUAUGAGUUGUAAACUGCUUUUGUACGAGGGUAAACGCCGAUUCGCGUAUCUGUCUGAAAGUAUCGUACGAAUAAGGAUCGGCUAACUCCGUGCCAGCAGCCGCGGUAAUACGGAGGAUUCAAGCGUUAUCCGGAUUUAUUGGGUUUAAAGGGUGCGUAGGCGGUCGGAUAAGUUAGAGGUGAAAUCCCGAGGCUCAACUUCGGAAUUGCCUUUGAUACUGUUCGGCUAGAGUGUAGUAGAGGUAGGCGGAAGGUAUGGUGUAGCGGUGAAAUGCUUAGAGAUAAUACAGAACACCGAUUGCGAAGGCAGCUUACCAAGCUACAACUGACGUUGAGGCACGAAAGCGUGGGGAGCGAACAGGAUUAGAUACCCUGGUAGUC